GAACCUGAUCCUCGGUAGCGAAGGGCUGGAGGCAAACACCGAGCUCCCCCUGAGCCGCCUGGGAGCAGGGAGGGUUCUGCUACCCUGAGGGGCCCUCCCCGCGGGGCAGAGGGGACCAGCCCAACAUGGCUUCCAACACAGAGACCAGAAGGACCCAAUAAGAGACCGAAGACACGACUGAUAAUACAGAAAGGAGGGUGAUGCUGUGUGCAAGGCAGAUACAAGAUGGUUUUUCCAUAAGAGGAAGUGAUCAUGGCAACCAUGACCUUCUCUGACCUUCUCUCUUCCAAGAGGCUGUUGGGAAGGUGGGAUGACCUAGGAUUGACCUUGGACUUGACAUCACAGAAGCCAUUUCAACCUUCACAGGUGGGAGGAAGUCACAGCAUCUACUUCUGAAUCUGUGCUUGCCUUGAGGAAAAACGGCAUGGCACAGGAAUGUGGACGCUUUCAACCAGAGGAUUCUGUACGACGGUGUCGGCACACAAGGAGUGUUCCACUGACUGACCUCUUUUUGUUUUCAAAUGAAGAGGAGCCAAGAAUAGGACAGCUUGGGAAGCUCAUCCUCGUCUACGGCCAAACGUUGGUUUCUCAUUUCUAGAAGAUGAAAGAUGUGAUGACUCAGGAAAAACUGGAAUCUUAGUAACUGUGGUGGGCAUUGAGCCUUGCCGUCCACAAGAGAAAGCUUGCUGCUCGAGAUGUGAGUCUUCAGAUGUUCCUGCCGCCAUAUCUGACAGCUGCUGCCAAGAUUCCCUGGUGGGAUGGACUCUUAUACCUCAACAACCAGAAGCCCAAGUAAACUCUUCUAUAAAUUGAAUGACUCAUGCUUAAAAAAAAAAACAAAAAACAAACUA
rnacentral:lncRNA from 1 species